CCCUUAGAUGUUCUGGGCUGCACGCGCGCUACACUGAUGCGCUCAACGAGUUUAUGACCUUGCCCGGAAGGGUUGGGUAAUCUUUUCAAAACGCAUCGUGAUGGGGAUAGAUUAUUGCAAUUAUUAAUCUUCAACGAGGAAUUCCUAGUAAGCGUAAGUCAUAAGCUUGCGCUGAUUACGUCCCUGCCCUUUGUACACACCGCCCGUCGCUACGACCGACUGUUUCUGUCAAUGAAGCUGUAGGAUUUGGUCCUGGCCGGGCUUCACGGCCUGGCUGCGGCACUGGAGAUCACAGUUUAGUUGAUACGAAAUACAGGACGUAAAAGUCGUAACA
rnacentral:rRNA from 1 species